rfam:Ajellomyces capsulatus G186AR genomic scaffold supercont2.13, whole genome shotgun sequence.
GGCGCGAUGGCGGAGUGGUUAACGCGAGAGACUAGAACUAACUAAAUACCAGCUCUAUCUCUUCCCUUCGGGGGCGUAGGUUCGAAUCCUGCUCGCGUCG